GGAUGUGAGGGCGAUCUGGCUGCAACAUCUGCCACCUCAUCGAUCGUCAGGGUUGAUUUGACUGAUCUGGCUGGCUAGGCGGGUGUCCCCUUCCUCCCUCACCGCUCCACGUGCGUCCCUCCCGAGGCUGCGUGCUGGGUUGAAGAGGACGACCAUCCCCGGUAGAGGACCAUUCUUCAGUCAAGGGAUACAAGUAGCUGCGCUUCCCUGCUAGAACCUCCAAACAAGCUCUCAAGACUGGUUGGCAGGGUUGUGGAUGUGUGAUAUACAUUGUUAAAAUACUUGGAGUGUGUCAAUAGUUUUGAUAU
rnacentral:snRNA from 1 species